AACAUGCUCCGGGGUCGGUGAAAGUCCGAACCGGCGGUGAGAGUCCGCGACCCGCUCGUCCGCGAGCGGUUGACCUGGUGGAAUUCCGGGACCGACGGUUAAAGUCCGGAUGGUAGGUGCAUGGG
rnacentral:ncRNA from 1 species